rnacentral:rRNA from 1 species
GACGAACGCUGGCGGCGUGCUUAACACAUGCAAGUCGAACGGAAAGGCCCUGCUUGCAGGGUACUCGAGUGGCGAACGGGUGAGUAACACGUGGGUGAUCUGCCCUGCACUUCGGGAUAAGCUUGGGAAACUGGGUCUAAUACCGGAUAGGAACCAUCUUUAGUGUGGUGGUUGGAAAGUUUUUUCGGUGUAGGAUGAGCUCGCGGCCUAUCAGCUUGUUGGUGGGGUAAUGGCCUACCAAGGCGGCGACGGGUAGCCGGCCUGAGAGGGUGUACGGCCACAUUGGGACUGAGAUACAGCCCAGACUCCUACGGGAGGCAGCAGUGGGGAAUAUUGCACAAUGGGCGCAAGCCUGAUGCAGCGACGCCGCGUGGGGGAUGAAGGCCUUCGGGUUGUAAACUCCUUUCGCUAGGGACGAAGCUUUGUUGUGACGGUACCUAGAUAAGAAGCACCGGCUAACUACGUG